rnacentral:rRNA from 1 species
GAUGAACGCUGGCGGCGUGCCUAAUACAUGCAAGUCGAGCGAACGGACGAGAGGCUUGCUUCUCUGAUGUUAGCGGCGGACGGGUGAGUAACACGUGGAUAACCUACCUAUAAGACUGGGAUAACUUCGGGAAACCGGAGCUAAUACCGGAUAAUAUUUUGAACCGCAUGGUUCAAAAGUGAAAGACGGUCUUGCUGUCACUUAUAGAUGGAUCCGCGCUGCAUUAGCUAGUUGGUAAGGUAACGGCUUACCAAGGCAACGAUGCAUAGCCGACCUGAGAGGGUGAUCGGCCACACUGGAACUGAGACACGGUCCAGACUCCUACGGGAGGCAGCAGUAGGGAAUCUUCCGCAAUGGGCGAAAGCCUGACGGAGCAACGCCGCGUGAGUGAUGAAGGUCUUCGGAUAGUAAAACUCUGUUAUUAGGGAAGAACAUAUGUGUAAGUAACUGUGCACAUCUUGACGGUACCUAAUCAGAAAGCCACGGCUAACUACGUG